GAGUAUAAGAAUAUGCUGAAAGUUCAGGGUAAAAUAUGCAAUUUACCACUGAACAGGUCUAAGGACCAGAAUGUAAUAAAACAAUCAUAAGGUCAUGACAUAACUGAAUAAACUGAUAGUUAUAAACUAUCAGGGUGUUAUUCAUAAAGUUUUCAAAUAAAUCGUUAUAAGGACUGAAAUGUAAUAAACGAUUGGUUUUAUUAAAAUAACUAAUUUUGUUAUAAGAUUUUACUAUGCAGGUAAUUUGGACCGUGACUCAUAAAACGAGUUAAAGAAAAUGCA
rnacentral:lncRNA from 1 species